rnacentral:rRNA from 1 species
AAGACCUUGCGCUUUUGGAGCGGCCGAUGCCUGAUUAGCUUGUUGGUAAGGUAAAGGCUUACCAAGGCUUCGAUCAGUAGCUGGUCUGAGAGGACGGCCAGCCACACUGGGACUGAGACACGGCCCAGACUCCUACAGGAGGCAGCAGUGGGGAAUUUUGGACAAUGGGGGAAACCCUGAUCCAGCCAUGCCGCGUGAGUGAAGAAGGCCUUCGGGUUGUAAAGCUCUUUCAGCCGGAACGAAACGGUUACGGAUAAUACCCGUGACUACUGACGGUACCGGAAGAAGAAGCACCGGCUAACUACGUGCCAGCAGCCGCGGUAAUACGUAGGGUGCGAGCGUUAAUCGGAAUUACUGGGCGUAAAGCGUGCGCAGGUGGUUUUGUAAGUCAGAUGUGAAAGCCCCGGGCUCAACCUGGGAACU